rnacentral:rRNA from 1 species
GAUGAACGCUGGCGGCGUGCUUAACACAUGCAAGUCGAACGGAAAGGCUCCUGCUUGCAGGGGGACUCGAGUGGCGAACGGGGGAGUAACAAGUGGGUGAUCUGCCCUGCACUUCGGGAUAAGCCUGGGAAACUGGGACUAAUACAGGACAGGACGUACGGCUGGAUGCCAUUGCGGCAAGUUUUUCGGUGUGGGAAGAGCUCGCGGCCUAACAGCUUGUUGGUGGGGUAAUGGCCUACCAAGGCGUCGACGGGGAGCCGGCCUGAGAGGGGGGACGGCCACGCUACGUUGGGGAUACGGCACAGCCUCCUCCGGGACGCGGGGGUGGAGUGUGUUAUACAAUGGGCGGGGGCCAAAUGCGGCGCAGCCGCGUCGGGGAUGUGGGCAUUCGGGUUGUAAUCUCAAUCCGUUAGAGACGGGACGAAAAUGACGGUACCUGGAGAAGAAGCCCCGGCUAACUACGUG